GACGGAGGGUGCAAGCGUUGUUCGGAUUGACUGGGCGUAAAGGGCGUGUAGGCGGUUUGUCAAGUCGGGUGUGAAAGCCUGGGGCUCAGCCCCAGAAGUGCAUCCGAAACUAGCGAGCUAGAGCGCGAUAGAGGAGGGUGGAAUUCCUGGUGUAGCGGUGAAAUGCGUAGAUAUCAGGAGGAACACCGGUGGUGUAAACGGCUUUCUGGACCAUAACUGACGCUGAGGCACGAAAGCGUGGGUAGCAAACAG
rnacentral:rRNA from 1 species